GAUGAAGAACGCAGCGAAAUGCGAUAAGUAAUGUGAAUUGCAGAAUUCAGUGAAUCAUCGAAUCUUUGAACGCACAUUGCGCCCCCUGGUAUUCCGGGGGGCAUGCCUGUCCGAGCGUCAUUGCUGCCCUCAAGCACGGCUUGUGUGUUGGGCCUCCGUCCUCCUCCCGGGGGACGGGCCCGAAAGGCAGCGGCGGCACCGCGUCCGGUCCUCGAGCGUAUGGGGCUUCGUCACCCGCUCUUGUAGGCCCGGCCGGCGCUUGCCGACACAUCAAUCUUUUUUCCAGGUUGACCUCGGAUCAGGUAGGGAUACCCGCUGAACUUAAGCAUAUCAAUAAGCGGAGG
rnacentral:misc_RNA from 1 species